UGUUAAAAAAAUUAUCCAUUUAUGUUAUUAAAAAUUGGUGUGAUUGAGGGAAUAAUUAGACAGUAAUAUGUGAUGUUUACGUGUCCUCAUGAUGACGUAUAAUGACAAAUUUUUAACCGUAGAAAUGGAUGAAAUUUUUAACC
rnacentral:pre_miRNA from 1 species